AUUGAACGCUGGCGGCAGGCCUAACACAUGCAAGUCGAGCGGAUGAAGAGAGCUUGCUCUCUGAUUCAGCGGCGGACGGGUGAGUAAUGCCUAGGAAUCUGCCUGGUAGUGGGGGACAACGUUUCGAAAGGAACGCUAAUACCGCAUACGUCCUACGGGAGAAAGCAGGGGACCUUCGGGCCUUGCGCUAUCAGAUGAGCCUAGGUCGGAUUAGCUAGUAGGUGGGGUAAAGGCUCACCUAGGCGACGAUCCGUAACUGGUCUGAGAGGAUGAUCAGUCACACUGGAACUAAGACACGGUCCAGACUCCUAAGGGAGGAAGCAGUGGGGAAUAGUAGACAAUGGGCGAAAGCCUGAUCCAGCCAUGCCGCGUGUGUGAAGAAGGUCUUCGGAUUGUAAAGCACUUUAAGUUGGGAGGAAGGGCAGUAAGCUAAUACCUUGUUGUUUUGACGUUACCAACAGAAUAAGCACCGGCUAACUUCGUGCCAGCCGCCGCCGUAAAAC
rnacentral:rRNA from 1 species